rnacentral:rRNA from 1 species
GUGGGGAAUAUUGGGCAAUGGGGGAAACCCUGACCCAGCGACGCCGCGUGAGGGAAGAAGGCCUUAGGGUCGUAAACCUCUGUUGUGUGGGAAGAAGAGCGUGACGGUACCACACGAGGAAGUCCCGGCUAACUACGUGCCAGCAGCCGCGGUAAUACGUAGGGGACGAGCGUUGUCCGGAUUUACUGGGCGUAAAGGGCGCGUAGGCGGUCAUUUAAGCCAGCUGUGAAAUGGUUUGGCUUAACCGGAUCAUGCGGUUGGAACUGUAUGACUGGAGUGCUGGAGAGAGAAGUGGAAUUCCCAGUGUAGCGGUGAAAUGCGUAGAGAUUGGGAAGAACACCGGUGGCGAAGGCGACUUGCUGGCCAGCAACUGACGCUGAGGCGCGAAAGCCAGGGGAGCAAACGGGAUUAGAUACCCUUGUAGUCC